CCCACCUCAAAUUCCGUUCUUUCCAAACCCUAAUACCCAUCCUACCUUCUCUCCUCCACCGCCAUUCCAAGGAGAUUUAAGAGAAUUGCGUUUCAUAGAUUCAUUAGAUCAAAAACUUCUUUUGCCUCUGUCAGCAUAUUUGCGGACGCGCUUCGCAAAGAGGGGAUGCUGGCAGAGGCAAAAGAAGCUUUUGAUCUGAUGGUUAUGAUAGUUAUGACCCUUUUUGGAGUGCUGGGCGCUCGUUUCAAGAUUGGAUUUACGUCUCAAGGUCCCGUUUGGUUUGCGGAAUGGACCCAUGGAAUGGAGUAGCUAACCUAGAAAUGAGUGGCCUUUCCUUUCCUGUGGGAUUAAAUUACUCGUGUA